CGUGGGUAACCUGCCUCAUACAGGGGGAUAACAGUUAGAAAUGACUGCUAAUACCGCAUAAGCACACAGUACCGCAUGGUACAGUGUGAAAAACUCCGGUGGUAUGAGAUGGACCUGCGUCUGAUUAGCUAGUUGGUGAGAUAACUGCCCACCAAGGCGACGAUCAGUAGCCGACCUGAGAGGGUGAUCGGCCACAUUGGAACUGAGACACGGUCCAA
rnacentral:rRNA from 1 species